rnacentral:misc_RNA from 1 species
GUUGAAUUGAAAGCAAAGCUUGAUAAGAUAUCAACAAUUGUCCAAGAACUUAGAGGAGAACUUAAAGAAGUAAAGUAAGAAACUAAUGAAGCCAAUCAAGCCAUGGAGACUUUCAAGACUUCAAUGAAUAUAGAAGAAAAUUAAGACAACCAAGCCAUGGAGAAUCCAACGAUAAUUGAAGAUAAUCAAGCCAAGAAAACA